rnacentral:lncRNA from 10 species
UAGCAGUGGCAACCCGUUGGGGUCCCCUUCCAGUCUGUGGAAACUUUGUUCUCUGCAAUAAAUCUUGCCGCUGCUCGCUCUUUGGGUCCACAUUGCUUUUUUGAGCUGUAACACUCAUCGCGGAGGUCUGCAGCUUCACUCCUGAAGCCAGCGAGACCACGAGCCCACCGGGAGGAACCAACAACUCCAGACAGGCUGCCUUAAGAGCUGUAACACUCACCGCAAAGGUCUGCAGCUUCACUCCUGAGCCAGCGAGACCACGAACCCACCAGGAGGAAUAAACUCCAAACACAUCCGAACGUCAGAAGGAACGAACUCCAGACGCGCCACCUUAAGAGCUGUAACACUCACCCGGAGGGUCCGCGGUUUCAUUCUUGAAGUCAGUGAGACCAAGAACCCACCAAUUCUGGACACGCUGGAUCCAGGUGCUCAAAAAGAUCAUCAUCUUGAAGGGAGCUAUGUGGCAAGAUUGGCAAGGGGGCCAUGGAAGGCUUUGGAAGGAGCUAAUAUUUGGGCUGAGACCCUGCAGGUGAGUAGUUGGUCCAGCAGGCAGAAAGUUGGGAUGGUGUUUCCCUGGCACAGGACUGGCCUGUGUGUGUGCAUGGAUGCCAGAGAACAUGCUCCAUGACAGCUGGGCUCUGAGCCAGCUGGAACAAGCAGAAGAAACGUGUGUGAGUGAACAGGCAGGCACGCCACACUCUGCCUCCCAGGCUAUAACAAGAAAAAAGAGAAAAUGAAUGUCGAAUGGGGAAACCACCUGGUUUCCUCUAGACCAAGAGUGGGGCCCUAAGGGCGAGCAUGCCCUGGCACCCGCACUGAGCAGGGCUUUGUGCGACACCCUUGAGUCAUCUGGGAAGGUUCUGCAGCAGUACUAUCGAUAGCUCUGGGACAGUAGAAGCCUUGUUAAAGACCCAAUCUCCUCCAUAAGAUACUAAC